rnacentral:tRNA from 1 species
UGUUCCUGUCGUCUAGUGGUAAGGACACCUGGUUUUCAACCAGGCAACCGGAGUUCAAUUCUCCGCAGGAACGCCAA